AUGCCCCAAGCCUCAGUUUCCCCACUUGUUGUGAGGCUUGAGUGCUCUAACACAUCAAGGCAUCCCAGAACAGCGCUUGGCAGAGACUCACGGUUUAUCAGUGUGAGCUGUCGUUAUUGGAAAGUGGGGUGGAGUCGGGUUUGGAUUCCCCCAGGAGCAGAGACAGAAACAAAAGGAUUCAAGGGAGACACGAGACAUCAAUCUGUAUAUGUAAGAAGGACACCGGUUCCAUCCAGAAAGGCGCGGGCAGCUCGAAGCAGGAGAGGGGCUUCCAGGUCACAGCCCCACUUCGUAGUCAUCAGUCAUCGUAGUCAUCGUCAUCAUCAUCGUCAUCGCAGGAGUCCUUAUGAGAGGGAGGCAGGAGGGUCAGCGUCAGCAAGGAGAUGGUUGAUGGAGGCAGAGGUCAGGGCGAUGCGACUGCUGGCUUUGAAGAUGGCUGUGAGCCAGGGACUGCAGGUGGCCUCCAAAGGCUGGAGAAGCGAGGAAACAGAUUCUCCCCUAAAGCCUCCAGAAAGGAACCGUUCUGCCCACACUUUGACUUCUCAAAACUGUAAAAGAAUAAAUGUGUGUUGUUUCAAGCCACUAAAUUUGUGGUCAUUUGUUACAGCCACCAUAGGAAUCUCACACAGAACCUCAGUGAGCAGGUGA
rnacentral:lncRNA from 1 species